GCUCGUGUAGCACAGUGGUUAAUGCACCUCUCUUGUAAAGAGGAGAUCGUGAGUUCGAUUCUCACCUCGAGCU
rfam:Ectocarpus siliculosus strain Ec 32, whole genome shotgun sequence assembly, chromosome LG19